rnacentral:rRNA from 1 species
CCCGAUGAACCUGAAUAUCCGUUAUGGGAAAUUCAUCAUUAGAAUUGUAAUAUUUAAACAAUAUUAUAAUGAUAGUGUGCAUUUUUUCCAUAUAAGGACAUUGUAAUCUAUUAGCAUAUUAAUUUAUCAUAAAAUUAUGUCAUAUUUGUUUAUUUGAAUUAGAGUGCUUGCAUUCUAACAUAAAAUAAAAGUUGUAAAUUUGAUAAAGUGCUGAUAGAUUUAUAAGAUUACAGUGCGUUAAUUUUUCGGAAUUAUAUAAUGGCAUGAUCAUCAUUGAUUUUUGUGUUUAUUAUAAGCACUUGUAUGAUUAACAAUGCGAAAGAUUCAGGAUACUUCGGGC